AGAGUUUGAUCAUGGCUCAGAACGAACGCUGGCGGCAGGCCUAACACAUGCAAGUCGAGCGGUAGAGAGGUGCUUGCACCUCUUGAGAGCGGCGGACGGGUGAGUAAAGCCUAGGAAUCUGCCUGGUAGUGGGGGAUAACGCUCGGAAACGGACGCUAAUACCGCAUACGUCCUACGGGAGAAAGCAGGGGACCUUCGGGCCUUGCGCUAUCAGAUGAGCCUAGGUCGGAUUAGCUAGUUGGUGAGGUAAUGGCUCACCAAGGCGACGAUCCGUAACUGGUCUGAGAGGAUGAUCAGUCACACUGGAACUGAGACACGGUCCAGACUCCUACGGGAGGCAGCAGUGGGGAAUAUUGGACAAUGGGCGAAAGCCUGAUCCAGCCAUGCCGCGUGUGUGAAGAAGGUCUUCGGAUUGUAAAGCACUUUAAGUUGGGGAGGAAGGGCAUUAACCUAAUACGUUGGUGUCUUGACGUUACCGACAGAAUAAGCACCGGCUAACUCUGUGCCAGCAGCCGCGGUAAUACAGAGGGUGCAAGCGUUAAUCGGAAUUACUGGGCGUAAAGCGCGCGUAGGUGGUUUGUUAAGUUGGAUGUGAAAUCCCCGGGCUCAACCUGGAACUGCAUUCAAAACUGACAAGCUAGAGUAUGGUAGAGGGUGGUGGAAUUUCCUGUGUAGCGGUGAAAUGCGUAGAUAUAGGAAGGAACACCAGUGGCGAAAGCGACCACCUGGACUGAUACUGACACUGAGGUGCGAAAGCGUGGGGAGCAAACAGGAUUAGAUACCCUGGUAGUCCACGCCGUAAACGAUGUCAACUAGCCGUUGGGAGCCUUGAGCUCUUAGUGCGCAGCUAACGCAUUAAGUUGACCGCCUGGGGAGUACGGCCGCAAGGUUAAAACUCAAAUGAAUUGACGGGGGCCCGCACAAGCGGUGGAGCAUGUGGUUUAAUU
rnacentral:rRNA from 1 species